AUUGAACGCUGGCGGCAGGCCUAACACAUGCAAGUCGAGCGGAUGAAGGGAGCUUGCUCCUGGAUUCAGCGGCGGACGGGUGAGUAAUGCCUAGGAAUCUGCCUGGUAGUGGGGGAUAACGUCCGGAAACGGGCGCUAAUACCGCAUACGUCCUGAGGGAGAAAGUGGGGGAUCUUCGGACCUCACGCUAUCAGAUGAGCCUAGGUCGGAUUAGCUAGUUGGUGGGGUAAAGGCCUACCAAGGCGACGAUCCGUAACUGGUCUGAGAGGAUGAUCAGUCACACUGGAACUGAGACACGGUCCAGACUCCUACGGGAGGCAGCAGUGGGGAAUAUUGGACUAUGGGCGAAAGCCUGAUCCAGCCAUGCCGCGUGUGUGAAGAAGGUCUUCGGAUUGUAAAGCACUUUAAGUUGGGAGGAAGGGCAGUAAGUUAAUACCUUGCUGUUUUGACGUUACCAACAGAAUAAGCACCGGCUAACUUCGUG
rnacentral:rRNA from 1 species